AGGCUUUGCUGCAACCAAUGGGCUCCUAGGGCAGGACAUGCACGGCUAAGGAAUGUAGUAAUAAGGUGAAAAUGGACAGAAGAGGGAUUGAAGGAAAGAGAAGAAAAAGGAGAAACUAAGGACAAGGGCUUCAGAUGAAGAGCUCCUAAACACUCCUAAAGACUACCAGUUACACAGGUCAUACAAAUUGGUCCUAUUAACAACCGAAGAAAGGAGAACAAACUUAGGUUAUGGACUUGAAAGGAUAAAGCCAAGCAAAAGAUUGAAGUGCUGCCUGUGUGGACAGCACCUCACCGCUCCUUCCUCACCAAGACAAUACUGAGGGGAAGAAAGGCCAGUUGACUGAAUCUAAAUUAUGCUACCAAAAAUCUCUAAGGGGGGAAAAUACAAUGAAAUAAUAAAUUAACACUGGGAAAAGUCAACAAAAAUACCCUUAAGGAAGAAAGUCUCAGGCCCAGAACCAAGACCAAAGGUGCUGCCAGGAUUUGCCACGUACCUUCAUGUGGGAGUGGGACGCACCCUUGGCUGGGUGGAGGAUGCCUAGCAUAGGGAAUUGGCUGGGGUCUUGGGAAGAGGGCUGACCCCUGAACCCUAUAAGGACAGCACUCAGCCCCGCAAGGCUUGGCCUCCUAUGGUACAUUCUCUUCAACCUCAUCCCACUUCUAUGCCUUAUCUCAGUCAACUGCAAAUUGGGGGAAUUAUUGCUGCAGUAUAGAAUUUACAUGUUAUGGAACUUGACUAGAGUUAGGUUAUGCAAAGUAAGUAAAAGUACCUGACAGCACUUACUAAGUAGAAGUAUUUACAUAUAAAGGUGAAGUAAACUUUGACUAAGUACAAGUAGUUAAUUAGCAGCAAUUGGGAAGUGAAGAGAGGGAAGAUGGAAGGAACGAAUGUUCGAAUGCUAAUCAUUGUUCAGAACAUGAAAUCAAUACACGAUGGAACAUGUAGGUAAUAGUUAAAGAAGCAUGAAAUGAGGCAGGACAUGGUGGCUCACACCUGUAAUCCCAGCACUUUGGGAGGCCGGGGUGGAUGGAUCACAAGGUCAGGAGUUCGAGACCAGCCUGGUCAAGAUGGUGAAACCCCCGUCUCCACUAAAACAAAAAUUAGGCGCAGUGGCAGGGGCCUGUAAUCCCAGCUACUCGGGAGGCUGAGACAGGAAAAUCGCUUGAACCCGAGAGGCAGAGGUUGCAGUGAGCUGAGAUCACACCACUGCACUCCAGCCUGGGCAAAAGGGUGAGACCCCGUCUC